AUCCUUUUGUAGUUCAUAAGUAUGACGAUUGGGUGUUCAUGCACCUGCGUGAUCUGUGCCUCCCUCAAACCUUGUUACGACAUCGGCACAUUACCUAUCUGACG
rnacentral:snoRNA from 1 species